rnacentral:rRNA from 13 species
CGAAAAGGGCGUUUGGUGAAUGCCUUGGCAGUAAGAGGCGAUGAAAGACGUGAUACUCUGCGAUAAGCCAUGGGGAGCUGAGAAUAAGCUUUGAUCCAUGGAUUUCUGAAUGGGGCAACCCACCUGAAUGUUUAUUAUUACUACUCUUCGGAGUAGCUAAUAAUGGGCAUAACCAGGUAUUUAUAGACUGAAUACAUAGGUUUAUAAAAGCAAACCCGGGGAACUGAAACAUCUAAGUACCCGGAGGAAAGGAAAUCAAUUGAUACUCCCCUAGUAGCGGCGAGCGAA